rnacentral:tRNA from 1 species
CGGGUGUAGUUCAGUGGUAGAACGUCAGCUUCCCAAGCUGAAUGUCGAGAGUUCGAGUCUCUUCACCC